rnacentral:rRNA from 1 species
AUGGCUCAGGAUGAACGCUGGCGGCGUGCUUAACACACGCAAGUCGGACGCUGAAGCUCCCAGCUUGCUGGGGGUGGAUGAGUGGCGAACGGGUGAGUAUCACGUGAGUAACCUGCCCUUGACUCUGGGAUAAGCCCGGGAAACUGGGUCUAAUACUGGAUAGGACUGGCCAUCGCAUGGUGGUUGGUUGAAAGCUUUUGCGGUUUUGGAUGGACUCGCGGCCUAUCAGCUUGUUGGUGGGGUAAUGGCCUACCAAGGCUUUGACGGGUAGCCGGCCUGAGAGGGUGACCGGCCACACUGGGACUGAGGCACGGCCCAGACUCCUACGGGAGGCAGCAGUGGGGGAUAUUGCACAAUGGGCGCAAGCCUGAUGCAGCGACGCCGCGUGAGGGAUGACGGCCUUCGGGUUGUAAACCUCUUUCAGUUGGGAAGAAGCCUUUCGGGGUGACGGUACCCUCAGAAGAAGCACCGGCUAACUACGUGCCAGCCGCCGC